CAAGGUACAGAGGAAGGGUCACACUACGACCAGGGUCAUAAAACUACCCCCGGAAAUGCCCACAACUCUUACGAAAGCCUUGUCAAAUAGGUGUUUCUAGGUUCAUGGUACAGAGGAAGGGUCAGACUACCACCAGGGUCAUAAAACUACCCCUGGAAAUGCCCACAACUCCUACGAAAGCCUUGUCAAAUAUGUGUUUCUAGGUUCAUGGUACAGAGGAAGGGUCACACUACCACCAGGGUCAUAAAACUACCCCUGGAAAUGCCCACAACUCUUACGAAAGCCUUGUCAAAUAGGUGUUUCUAGGUUCAUGGUACAGAGGAAGGGUCAGACUACCACCAGGGUCAUAAAACUACCCCUGGAAAUGCCCACAACUCUUACGAAAGCCUUGUCAAAUAGGUGUUUCUAGGUUCAUGGUACAGAGGAAGGGUCAGACUACCACCAGGGUCAUAAAACUACCCCUGGAAAUGCCCACAACUCUUACGAAAGCCUUGUCAAAUAGGUGUUUCUAGGUUCAUGGUACAGAGGAAGAGUCAGACUACCACCAGGGUCAUAAAACUACCCCUGGAAAUGCCCACAACUCCUACGAAAGCCUUGUCAAAUAUGUGUUUCUAGGUUCAUGGUACAGAGGAAGGGUCAGACUACCACCAGGGUCAUAAAACUACCCCUGGAAAUGCCCACAACUCCUACGAAAGCCUUGUCAAAUAUGUGUUUCUAGGUUCAUGGUACAGAGGAAGGGUCAGACUACCACCAGGGUCAUAAAACUACCCCUGGAAAUGCCCACAACUCUUACGAAAGCCUUGUCAAAUAGGUGUUCUUGGGCGACGAA